AACAUGACGUGGCGUGGAAAAUACCUUUAGAAUAUCAGUGCGCUCGAAAAAAAGUCCAACUUUUCAGUACCGUUAGCGUAUCUCCAUUCCUUGAAGAAUAAGAAACUCAUAGACGGAAGAUACAUUCUUGAGGAACUUAGAGCCGAUUAACUUCUCAACAGAUUCCAAUAGUGUGUUUACGACAUUCCGUCACCGGACCAUAUCUUGAGUCAGUGUAACAUCUGAAUACACGGUGAAAAUUAACAUUACAACGGAAGGGAUUUUCCAGCAUCGUCAAACGUACUCCUGGUUUAUGUCCCUAGAGGAUGAGCUUUAUCUUUCACGGGCUUAUAACACAGCCUACACCGUGUCCCUCGGGUCAGAAGCGUUGUGGAAACUGCGUCACAGAAGAAACGUCGUACAACGUUGCAGCACGAACAGCUAUGCACAGACGAGUGAAAACAGCUCAGAACUCGCAGCGUACCAAAGCUAAAAGCGCUGUCCUGCUGAUAUGU